rnacentral:tRNA from 1 species
GUCUGGGUAGUUUAGAGGAAAAUAUUAAUUUUGUAAAUUAAAGAGUGGGUGUUAUGCCGCCCAGCCA